UGCCAGCCGCCGCGGUAAUACGAAGGGACCUAGCGUAGUUCGGAAUUACUGGGCUUAAAGAGCUCGUAGGUGGUUAAAAAAGUUGAUGGUGAAAUCCCAAGGCUCAACCUUGGAACUGCCAUUGAUACUGAAUUUCUUGAAUAUGAUUGAAGUGGGCGGAAUAUGUCAUGUAGCGGUGAAAUGCUUAGAUAUGACAUAGAACACCGAUAGCGAAGGCAGCUCACUAAGUCAUCAUUGACGCUGAGGGACGAAAGCGUGGGGAGCGAACAGGAUUAGAUA
rnacentral:rRNA from 1 species